GUCCAGACUCCUACGGGAGGCAGCAGUGGGGAAUAUUGCACAAUGGGGGGAACCCUGAUGCAGCGACGCCGCGUGGGUGAAGGAGUAUUUCGGUAUGUAAAGCCCUAUCAGCAGGGAAGAACAAUGACGGUACCUGACUAAGAAGCACCGGCUAAAUACGUGCCAGCAGCCGCGGUAAUACGUAGGUGGCAAGCGUUGUCCGGAUUUACUGGGUGUAAAGGGCGUGCAGCCGGGCUGACAAGUCAGAUGUGAAAUCCCGCGGCUCAACCGCGGAACUGCAUUUGAAACUGUCAGUCUUGAGUACCGGAGAGGUCAUCGGAAUUCCUUGUGUAGCGGUGAAAUGCGUAGAUAUAAGGAAGAACACCAGUGGCGAAGGCGGAUGACUGGACGGCAACUGACGGUGAGGCGCGAAAGCGUGGGGAGCAAACAGGAUUAGAUACCCCCGUAC
rnacentral:rRNA from 1 species